ensembl:lncRNA LINC02984 long intergenic non-protein coding RNA 2984
AGAAAUUCUUUCUCCCUAUGUCCCAGCCUACCCCCACUUUACCGAGGCCAACAGCCGCCUCAGAAACCAGAUUCAGGAGCUAACAUGCCCCAGGUCUCACGAGGAUCAGAGACUCCAGAGGCCAGGGAAGGAGAUCAAGGUAGUCAAGCGGGGGUCGUCUCAGAUCUGGUUGUGCUCGAGCUAUGCAAAUGCCUCUCACGGAGAUGCGAGGACCUAUCUAUUAUGAUGACCAGGGCCACAUCCGGAGGGGGCAACAGACUUUCAUCUAUCAGCCCUUUUCAACCACUGAUCUACUAAACUGGAAACACUCUGAACCCUGCCAUCUUGCUCCUGGUAUCAGAGAGCCCUGUCGUGCAUAACUGUGUAGAAGUGUUGGACUCGGUUUACUCCAGCAGACCUGAUCUCCGGGACCAGCCUUGGGCAUCAGUAGACUGGAAGCUAUAUGUGGACAGGAGCAGCUUCAUCAACCCACAAGGAGAGAGAUGUGCGGGAUAUGUGGUGGAACCCUGGACACUGUCGUUGAAGCCAGAUCGUUGCUCCAAGGCACUUCAGCCCAGAAAGAUGAGCUCAUUGCUUUAAUUUGGGCCUUAGAACUCAGUUAAGGCCUUCUACGGUCCCAGGCUUUCUGCUGCAUACACUGAAGGGCCACGAAGUACAGUCAUCUGGACUUGGCACCUGGAAUACAAGGAUGGAAAGCAUCAUUUCUGCCAGCUUCUUAUGGUCCUGAGGCGAGACAGUCAUGAGAGAGGAAAACUGCAAUGACUUCUGACCACUGCCAGCCUCGCUUCCUGCAUUUUCUUCUUCGGCUUACUCUUGCCAAGUUGGAGUUGCCUAACUUCCAAGAGGGUAUUUGCUCUUUUUUUUUUCUCACUCCACAAACUCUUCCCAGGUAGUUCAGUCCACUCCCAUCUACCAGUCACUAUACGCCGAUGAAUGCCAAUAUUAUUAUUUCCAGCUUAGACAUUGUUCUUGGAUUGCAGAUGUGAGGUUUGACUUGUUUACUAGACAUUGCUGGCUGAGGAUCCCUAGCAUAACAUGGCCCAAAUUCAAUUUAUUUCCAAAGCUGUCUCAUCUCCUUUGUUCUCUGUAAUGAUGUUGCUAUCCAUUCGAUCAACAUACUCAGAAAUAUCACCCCCUCCUUCCUUCUUCCAAGAUAAGUGAGUUGCUCACGACAUGAUCAUGUUUUGGCAGUGUACUCUGUCCAUUCCCAUCACUUAGUAAGAAUCAUCUAGGUUAUGCUGAAGUAUGAAGUUAAUCUCCAAAUUUCUCUGGCUCAGUACAGAAAAAGUCCAUUUCUCCCUUCUGCAAUGCACCCAAUGCAGGUCUGCAGGGUCUCUGCUGUGCGUUGUCCCUCAGGGACUCAGGCUGAAGAGGCCCCCUUGUCUUAUCUGGCCACCUCCUCUGCACAUGGCUCAGGAUUUUCCAGGCAAGGGGUUGAGCAGAGGCUUUUCAGUGCUGGGCCUGGAUGUGACAUAAGAUGCUUCUGCUCACAGCCUUGUGGUCAGAACAAGUCACAUCAUCCCUCCUACUUGCAGGGGUGCUGGGCAGCGUAGUCAUCCACAGAUCAGGAGAGGGAGCAGAGGCAGGUGUUCCCGGGCUGCAGCGAUCUCCACUGCACUGCUGUGGGCUGAACUGUGCCCUCCACCCCACCAAGCUUAUAUGCUGCCAGCCUCACCCUCCACACCUUAGAAUGUGGCUGUAUCUCGACAUAGGGUCCUUACAGAGGUAGUUAAGUUAAAGCAGGGUCAUUAGGGUGGGCCCUAAGGUACUCUGACUGGUGUUUUUAUGAGAAGAGGAGAUUAGGACUUACAGGGAGAGACACUAGGUAUGUGAGCACACAGAGAAAAGACCAUGUGAAGACGAGAAGAAGGCAACUGUCUCCAAUCCAGACGGAGAUGCCAGGCACAGCCCUUCUGUCACAACCCUCAGAAGGAACCAACCCUGCCGACACCUUGGCCUUGUACUUCUGGCCUCCAGAACCGCAGGAAAGUACAUUUCUGUUGCUUAGGCCGCUCAGCCUGUGGCACUUUGUUACAGCUUCUCACCCAGUUCAGGCCCUUUUAAUUGAUUGCUGGGCCUUUGCAGUUGUUUUUGCUUCUAAUAUAUUCAUCUCUCAAUUUAUUUCUGGAGGCUGCCACCCGAGGGGCAGAACUUCAAUUGUGUCCCUAAUGGGAAACCUUGCUGGGAUCAUGUGGUCUACAGCACAAGGUUGCUAAAGCAUCUUCUGCCAGAAUUCUGUGAGUAUCUGGUUAGGUGGGUCUGGAAUAUACUGAGUUUAAAAAAGUUAAAUAGGUUUCUUUACUGCAAGAUGUUUCAGAGACUUUAAUAUGCUACUCUGCUGUAUGAAUCUCCAGGCAGGAAAUCUUAUAAAAUGUGUUUCUGAAAUG